rnacentral:rRNA from 1 species
UGAGGAAUUUUCCGCAAUGGGCGAAAGCCUGACGGAGCGACGCCGCGUGGGUGACGAAGGUCUUCGGAUUGUAAAGCCCUGUCAGGGGGAAAGAACCCUUACCAUGCAAAUAGUUUGGUAAGUUGACGGUACCCCCAAAGGAAGCUCCGGCAAACUACGUGCCAGCAGCCGCGGUAAUACGUAGGGAGCGAGCGUUAUCCGGAAUCACUGGGCGUAAAGAGCUCGUAGGCGGUUGGCUAAGUCGUGCGUUAAAGCCCCGGGCUUAACCCGGGAGAUGCGCGCGAAACUGGCCGGCUAGAGGACGGGAGAGGUAAGUGGAAUUCCUGGUGUAGCGGUGAAAUGCAUAGAUAUCAGGAAGAACACCAGUGGCGAAGGCGGCUUACUGGACCGUUCCUGACGCUGAGGAGCGAAAGCUGGGGGAGCAAACGGG